rnacentral:rRNA from 1 species
AUUGAACGCUGGCGGCAGGCCUAACACAUGCAAGUCGAGCGGAGCGGCGGACGGGUGAGUAAUGCCUAGGAAUCUGCCUGGUAGUGGUGGAUAACGUCCGGCAACGGGCGCUAAUACCGCAUACUAUCAGAUGAGCCUAGGUCGGAUUAGCUAGUUGGUGGGGUAAAGGCCUACCAAGGCGACGAUCCGUACCUGGUCUGAGAGGAUGAUCAGUCACACGGGACCUGAGACACGGCCCAGACUCUUACGGGAGGCAGCAGUGGGGAAUAUUGGACAAUGGGCGAAAGCCUGCUGCAGACAUGCCCGGUGUGUGAAGAAGGCCUUCGGAUUGUAAAGCACUUUAAGUUGGGAGGCGGUACCAACAGAAUAAGCACCGGCUAACUUCGUGCCAGCAGCCGCGGUAAUAC